rnacentral:rRNA from 1 species
AUUCCAGCUCCAAUAGCGUAUAUUAAAGUUGUUGCAGUUAAAAAGCUCUUAGUUGGAUUUCUUGUGCAUGAAGCGGGUCGGCUCAAAGAGUCUGUACUAGCUUUCAUGCACAAUCCUCGUAACAAGCUGUCGGUGAGUUAACUCCAUUCGGCAGUGAGUUGCGUCAUUUACUGUGAACAAGUUAGAGUGUUUAAAGCAGGCAAAUGCUGUGAAUACAUUAGCAUGGAAUAAUAAGAUAGGACCUAGAGUCUAUUUUGUUGGUUGCGAUUUUAGGUAAUGAUUAAUAGGGAUAGUUGGGGGUAUUCAUAUUCAAUUGUCAGAGGUGAAAUUCUUGGAUUUAUGGAAGAUGAACAACUGCGAAAGCAUUUACCAAGGAUGUUUUCAUCG